AUUGAACGCUGGCGGCAGGCCUAACACAUGCAAGUCGAGCGGAUGAAGGGAGCUUGCUCCUGGAUUCAGCGGCGGACGGGUGAGUAAUGCCUAGGAAUCUGCCUGGUAGUGGGGGAUAACGUCCGGAAACGGGCGCUAAUACCGCAUACGUCCUGAGGGAGAAAGUGGGGGAUCUUCGGACCUCACGCUAUCAGAUGAGCCUAGGUCGGAUUAGCUAGUUGGUGGGGUAAAGGCCUACCAAGGCGACGAUCCGUAACUGGUCUGAGAGGAUGAUCAGUCACACUGGAACUGAGACACGGUCCAGACUCCUACGGGGGGCAGCAGUGGGGAAUAUUGGACAAUGGGCGAAAGCCUGAUCCAGCCAUGCCGCGUGUGUGAAGAAGGUCUUCGGAUUGUAAAGCACUUUAAGUUGGGAGGAAGGGCAGUAAGUUAAUACCUUGCUGUUUUAACGUUACCAACAGAAUAAGCACCGGCUAACUUCGUG
rnacentral:rRNA from 1 species